rnacentral:rRNA from 1 species
CCUACGGGUGGCAGCAGUGAGGAAUAUUGGUCAAUGGACGAGAGUCUGAACCAGCCAAGUAGCGUGAAGGAUGACUGCCCUAUGGGUUGUAAACUUCUUUUAUAUGGGAAUAAAAUGUUCCACGUGUGGGAUUUUGUAUGUACCAUAUGAAUAAGGAUCGGCUAACUCCGUGCCAGCAGCCGCGGUAAUACGGAGGAUCCGAGCGUUAUCCGGAUUUAUUGGGUUUAAAGGGAGCGUAGGUGGAUUGUUAUGUCAGUUGUGAAAGUUUGGGGCUCAACCGUAAAAUUGCAGUUGAAACUGGCAGUCUUGAGUACAGUAGAGGUAGGCGGAAUUCGUGGUGUAGCGGUGAAAUGCUUAGAUAUCACGAAGAACUCCGAUUGCGAAGGCAGUUCACUGGACUGCAACUGACGCUGAGGCUCGAAAGUGUGGGUAUCAAACAGGAUUAGAUACCCGGGUAGUC